GGGAACUACCUUUCGGUACGGAACAACAGUUGGAAACGACUGCUAAUACCGUAUACGUCCUUCGGGAGAAAGAUUUAUCGCCGAUAGAGGGGCCCGCGUUGGAUUAGCUUGUUGGUGAGGUAAUGGCUCACCAAGGCGACGAUCCGUAGCUGGUCUGAGAGGAUGAUCAGCCACACUGGGACUUAGACACGGCCCAGACUCCUACGGGAGGCAGCAGUGGGGAAUAUUGGACAAUGGGCGCAAGUGAUCCAGCCAUGCCGCGUGAGUGAUGACGGCCCUAGGGUUGUAAAGCUCUUUCAGUGGUGAAGAUAAUGACGGUAACCACAGAAGAAGCCCCGGCUAACUCCGUGCCAGCAGCCGCGGUAAUACGGAGGGGGCAAGCGUUGUUCGGAAUUACUGGGCGUAAAGCGCGCGUAGGGGGUCUUUAAGUCAGAGGUGAAAUCCUGGAGCUCAACUCCAGAACUGCCUUUGAUACUGGAGAUCUUGAGUCCGGAAGAGGUUAGUGGAAUUCCCAGUGUAGAGGUGAAAUUCGUAGAUAUUGGGAAGAACACCAGUGGCGAAGGGGCUAACUGCUCCGGUACUGACGCUGAGGUGCGAAAGGUGGGGAGCAAACAGGAUUAGAUACCCUGGUAGUCCACGCCGUAAACGAUGAAUGUUAGCCGUCGGCAGUAUACUGUUCGGUGGCGCAGUAACGCAUUAAACAUUCCGCCUGGGGAGUACGGUCGCAAGAUUAAAACUCAAAGGAAUUGACGGGGGCCCGCACAAGCGUGGAGCAUGUGGUUUAAUUCGAAGCAACGCGCAGAACCUUACCUACCCUUGACAUCCCGAUCGCGGUUUUCAGAGAUGAAUUCC
rnacentral:rRNA from 1 species